rnacentral:rRNA from 1 species
AUUGAACGCUGGCGGCAGGCUUAACACAUGCAAGUCGAGCGGAGAUGAGGUGCUUGCACCUUAUCUUAGCGGCGGACGGGUGAGUAAUGCUUAGGAAUCUGCCUAUUAGUGGGGGACAACAUUCCGAAAGGAAUGCUAAUACCGCAUACGCCCUACGGGGGAAAGCAGGGGAUCUUCGGACCUUGCGCUAAUAGAUGAGCCUAAGUCGGAUUAGCUAGUUGGUGGGGUAAAGGCCUACCAAGGCGACGAUCUGUAGCGGGUCUGAGAGGAUGAUCCGCCACACUGGGACUGAGACACGGACCAGACACCUACGGGAGGCAGCAGUGGGGAAUAUUGGACAAUGGGCGGAAGCCUGAUCCAGCCAUGCCGCGUGUGUGAAGAAGGCCUUUUGGUUGUAAAGCUCUUUAAGCGAGGAGGAGGCUACCUGGAUUAAUACUCUAGGAUAGUGGACGUUACUCGCAGAAUAAGCACCGGCUAACUCUGUGCCAGCAGCCGCCGUAAGAC